AUUGAACGCUGGCGGCAGGCCUAACACAUGCAAGUCGAACGAGUGGCGGACGGGUGAGUAAUGUCUGGGAAACUGCCUGAUGGAGGGGGAUAACUACUGGAAACGGUAGCUAAUACCGCAUACCAUCGGAUGUGCCCAGGGGGGAUUAGCUUGUUGGGGGGGUAAAGGCUCCCCAGGACGACGAUCCCUAGCUGGUCUGAGAGGAUGACAGGCCAACCGGGAACUGAGACACGGUCCAGCCGCCGACGGGAGGCAGCAGUGGGGAAUAUUGCACAAUGGGCGCAAGCCCGAUGGAGUCAUGCCGCGUGUAUGAAGAAGGCCUUCGGGUUGUAAAGUACUUUCAGUGGGGAGGCGUUACCCGCAGAAGAAGCACCGGCUAACUCCGUGCCAGCAGCCGCGGUAAUAC
rnacentral:rRNA from 1 species